rnacentral:rRNA from 1 species
UGGGGAAUAUUGGACAAUGGGGGCAACCCUGAUCCAGCCAUGCCGCGUGAGUGAUGAAGGCCUUAGGGUUGUAAAACUCUUUCAGUGGUGACGAUAAUGACGGUAGCCACAGAAGAAGCCCCGGCUAACUCCGUGCCAGCAGCCGCGGUAAUACGGAGGGGGCUAGCGUUGUUCGGAAUUACUGGGCGUAAAGCGCGCGUAGGCGGGUGACCAAGUUGGGGGUGAAAGCCCGGGGCUCAACCUCGGAACUGCCUUUGAUACUGGUAGUCUUGAGUUCGAGAGAGGUGAGUGGAAUUCCGAGUGUAGAGGUGAAAUUCGUAGAUAUUCGGAGGAACACCAGUGGCGAAGGCGGCUCACUGGCUCGAUACUGACGCUGAGGUGCGAAAGUGUGGGGAGCAAACAGGAUUAGAUACC